rnacentral:snoRNA from 1 species
UUUUGACAUGAUGAGAAACCUUUUUUAUUUUAACAGUUAUCCCUGUCUGAAUGGGCAACAUUAAAGCUAAGUCCGUGUGUCGAGAAUCUUUUAACUCUGAGUUCAUA